UACGGGGGGUGCAAGCGUUAUUCGGAUUCAUUGGGCGUAAAGAGCGCGUAGGCGGUCUUUUAUGUCAGGUGUGAAAGCCCGGGGCUCAACCUCGGAAGUGCACUUGAAACUGAAAGACUUGAGUAUGGGAGAGGGAAGUGGAAUUCCUGGUGUAGCGGUGAAAUGCGUAGAUGUCAGGAGGAACACCGGUGGCGAAGGCGACUUCCUGGACCAAUACUGACGCUGAGGCGCGAAAGCGUGGGUAGCAAACAGG
rnacentral:rRNA from 1 species